rnacentral:rRNA from 1 species
UACGAAGGGUGCAAACGUUGCUCGGAAUUAUUGGGCGUAAAGCGCACGUAGGCGGCUUUGCAAGUCGGAUGUGAAAUCCCUCGGCUUAACCAAGGAAGUGCAUCCGAAACUGCAGAGCUUGAGUACUUAAGAGGAUCGCGGAAUUCCCGGUGUAGAGGUGAAAUUCGUAGAUAUCGGGAGGAACACCAGUGGCGAAGGCGGCGAUCUGGGAAGAUACUGACGCUGAGGUGCGAAAGCCAGGGGAGCGAACGGGG